AUAACAUGUUUGAAAAUAAUAUUAACUUUCUGCACCAUUGUCUCACUCAGCAACUUCACGAGCAUCAGGCAGAGUUUAGGCUCCCCACAGUGGAUGAGCUGCUCAAUACUGACAACUUUGUGUGACCAUGGGAGGCCCUUGGCACCAGCAACAGCCUUCUUGCCAUCAAAAAGGCAAUCUUUGACAGACUGAUGUUGGUGAACAGACUGCAGGAGGACGAGUGAAUCCUGGUGCAGGAGAUGAAGAGGCACCGGGGAGCCUACAAAGUUGAAGCAAUGCAGUGGAGUUGUCAGAGAGAGGGAGGAAUGGUCAUCUCUGCCUCCUGAAGAGAAGAUUGAGUGAACAAUUUUUUUUGAUGACUCUCAUGUAGAUGGAAACUCAAAUGAAGAUAGAAGUUCUAUUGCUGAGAGCUCAGAUGAUGACUACUAUGCUUUUUGAAAUCAUACACCACCCCUGCCUCUUUCUCUCGGUCUCGCUCUCAGAGAGAAGGCUGCCAUCACCUCCCUUGGGAGCAGCCUGGUCUUUCGAUGUUGACCCCUCACCCUCUAAACACCUCAAGUAAAUUUUUAUUUGUAUGAUGAUGUACUAGUGGAGAAGAAAUGUCUAAUUUCAGCUCAUUUGUUGCCAUUUCCUCUCCUCACCUCCUCUCCUCCGAUUCUUCCGGUCCUAGAAAAUGGCGACAUCACCAGCAACUCAGAAUGUUGGUUGAGGACCUCUUUACUGAGGAAUGUGGUUGUUCUUCAUAAUUCAUAAUUUCUUGGAGUAUUUUCUAGGCUGCCAUGAUUGUGAUUUGUUGUGUAAUUGUGAGUUGCAAAAGAGUCCUUGGUGUCAAUGGGACUGCUAAAAUAAAUAAAUAAAGUAAAGGUCUUAAUAAAUAAAUAAAUGCACCUCUACAGGA